rnacentral:rRNA from 1 species
CGCUGGCGGCGUGCUUAACACAUGCAAGUCGAACGGGCGGAGGUUGGAACUUAGCGUUUGGAGACAGAACGUUAAGCUCCGAUCUUCGUCAGUGGCGGACGGGUGAGUAACGCGUGAGUAAUCUGGCCAUAUCAGCGGAAUAACACACUGAAAGGUGUGCUAAUACGGCAUAAGCCGGUACCCUCGCAUGGGGGAGCCGGAAAAGGAGAAAUCCGGAUAUGGAUGAGCUCGCGUCCGAUUAGGUAGUUGGUGAGGUAACGGCCCACCAAGCCUGCGAUCGGUAGCCGGACUGAGAGGUUGAACGGCCACAUUGGGACUGAGACACGGCCCAGACUCCUACGGGAGGCAGCAGUGGGGAAUAUUGGGCAAUGGGGGAAACCCUGAACCCCAGCAACGCCGCGUGAAGGAAGAAGGUCUUCGGAUUGUAAACUUUUGUCGUGAGGGACGAUAAUGACGGUACCUCGCGAGGAAGCCACGGCUAACUACGUGCCAGCAGCUGC